GGCGUUUUACGCGGAGCUCUCUACCAUUCGUAAUGAUGGGGUCACAGGUUCGAGUCCUGUAAGCGGCACCA
rnacentral:tRNA from 1 species